UUAAGUUAAUGGACUACUACGUAGUAUUUUUGCUGAUACUUCCCUUUGUGUGGGCAUCCAUUCAUGUCUUCACCUCCAAUCUAGCAAGCCGGAAGUCUGGCUUGCCCACACUCCCCCCAGGCCCCUACCCUAUUCCAAUUAUUGGUAACAUCUUUAAACUUGGCAACUUACCCCACCAAGCUGUUGCCAAGCUCUCCAAAACUUAUGGACCCUUAAUGACUCUCAAGCUUGGGAGCAUAACAACCAUAGUCAUUUCCUCUCCAAACAUAGCAAAAGAAGCACUUCAAAAAAUGACCAAGCCUUCUCUAGCCGAAACAUCCCAAAUAUGGCCAAAAUUUUUGACCACCACAAAGUUUCAAUGGGGUGGAUACCCACAAAUUCUCAUUGGAGGAACCUUAGGAAAGCUUGUGUCAUGGAAAUAUUUGCUCAACAACGUCUCGAAGCCACACAAGCCCUUCGACAAACAAAGGUACAAGAACUACUUGACUAUAUUAACCAAAGUUGCAAAAGCGGUGCACCCAUUGAUGUUGGUCAAGUAGUGUUCACAACAACCCUCAAUGCCAUAUCAAACACUUUCGUCUCUAUUGACUUGGCCCAAUAUGGUUCAAAUUUGUCCCAUGAGUUCCAGCACCUUGUAUAUUGUCUAGCCCAAGAAGCUGGAAAGCCAAAUCUUGCGGACUUUUUCCCAGCACUUAGUUUAGUUGACCCCCAAGGUAUCCACAAAAGGACAAGGAUUUAUUUCGCAAAACUAUUUGGUAUUUUUGAUGGUAUCAUCAAUGAACGAGUACAAUUAAGAGCUUCAUCAAAGGGUCCUAAAGCAAGCAACGAUGUACUAGAUUCGCUCCUCACUCUCAACGAAGAAGACAAUUCAAAGAUAAGCCUCCGCGAUAUCAAACAUUUGAUUCUGGACUUAUUUAUUGCAGGGAUUGACUCAACAUCAAGCACAGUAGAAUGGGCAAUGGCAUUGUUAUUACACAACCCAGAAAAAAUGGUAAAAGCCCAAGAUGAGCUUGAAGAAGUCCUAGGCAAUAAUGGGAAAGUCCAAGAAUCAGAUAUCUCUAAGUUCCAUUAUCUUCAAGCUAUAGUGAAAGAAACCUUUCGAUUGCACCCACCAGCUCCUUUUCUAGUUCCUCGUAAGGCUGUGGCAGACGUAGAAAUAUGUGGCUUCAUUGUGCCCAAAAAUGCACAAAUACUCAUAAAUGUGUGGGCAAUGGGAAGAGACUUAAGCAUAUGGCCAAAUCCAAAUUUAUUUAUGCCUGAAAGGUUUUUAGAGCAUGGCAUUGAGUUUAAGGGCCAAGAUUUUGAACUAAUUCCAUUUGGAGCUGGAAGAAGGAUAUGCCCUGGAUUGCCAUUAGCUAACCGAAUGGUGCACUUGAUGUUGGCUUCUCUUGUUCACAACUUUGCUUGGAAGCUCCCAGAUGAGAUGAAGCCAGAAGACAUGGACAUGGAGGAGAUGUUUGGGCUUACUUUACAUAAGGCAAAGCCCCUCCAAGCUAUUCCCAUCACAUCCUUAUAAUUACUAUUUUCUAUUAUUAGCCCAACAAUAUAUGUGAAUUUGUUGGUUUGAUUAAUUGAAUCUCUUCAAUAUUAGGAUUUUGCAUAAGCAUAGUAGGGGAAAACCAUUAUAUAUCAUAUAUCAUUAAUAUGUAGUUAUAUUGGUUCUAGUUAGCUUAA